GAUGAACGCUGGCGGCGUGCCUAAUACAUGCAAGUCGAGCGAACAGACGAGGAGCUUGCUCCUCUGACGUUAGCGGCGGACGGGUGAGUAACACGUGGAUAACCUCCAUAUAAGACUGGGAUAACUUCGGGAAACCGGAGCUAAUACCGGAUAAUAUAUUGAACCGCAUGGUUCAAUAGUGAAAGACGGUUUUGCUGACACUUAUAGAUGGAUCCGCGCCGCAUUAGCUAGUUGGUAAGGUAACGGCUUACCAAGGCAACGAUGCGUAGCCGACCUGAGAGGGUGAUCGGCCACACUGGAACUGAGACACGGUCCAGACUCCUACGGGAGGCAGCAGUAGGGAAUCUUCCGCAAUGGGCGAAAGCCUGACGGAGCAACGCCGCGUGAGUGAUGAAGGUCUUCGGAUCGUAAAACUCUGUUAUUAGGGAAGAACAAGUAUGUAAGUAACUAUGCGCGUCUUGACGGUACCUAAUCAGAAAGCCACGGCUAACUACGUG
rnacentral:rRNA from 1 species